rnacentral:sRNA from 1 species
AGCUGUCCGCGGUGCUGGCGCGGGCGGGACUGAGGGGCCGGCCCCCAAGGGAGGGGAGCGAAGCGGGGGACUUCUAAGACCACUUCUAGGCUGGAUGGCUGGAUCCAUGAGAAGAUGCUGAUGGCGCGGGAUGGCACGCGGGAGGACAGCCACAAGCUGCAUAAGAGAUGGCUCCGGCACCAGGCAUUCAUGGCCGAGCUGGCUCAGAAUAAGGAGUGGCUGGAGAAGAUCGAGAGGGAGGGCCAGCAACUGAUGCAGGAGAAGCCCGAACUGGCGGCCUCCGUGCGGAAGAAGCUGGGCGAGAUCCGCCAGUGCUGGGCGGAGCUGGAGAGCACCACCCAGGCCAAGGCACGGCAGCUCUUUGAGGCCAGCAAAGCAGACCAGCUGGUGCAGAGCUUUGCUGAGCUGGACAAGAAGCUCCUUCACAUGGAAAGCCAGCUGCAAGACGUGGACCCUGGAGGGGACCUGGCCACCGUCAACAGUCAACUCAAGAAGCUGCAGGUAUGGCCUUCCUGGCCCAGAUGAGGGCUCCCUAUGCCACAUGGGGGCCAGGUGAGGGUCCAACUCCACUCAAGGUAUGUCAAAUGGAGGGGAUUUAAUACAGGGAUUUAUUUCAAACUUGUAGAAGAGCAGAAAGGGAAUACUGAAGCAAUCCAGCUAGUAAUAACUGCUGGAAGCAGCCACCACCCCCUAAGGUAUGGAGUACAAAGGGAAAAGGAAGGAUCUAGAGCCACAAAGCAGUAGAUAAAUGACUAGCAUGCUAAAGGUUUCACAGGACCCUGACACUCAUUUCCUGGAUGGAGAAACCAAGGCCCAGGGGUAUGGGAAUGGCUUUGCAUGGAAUAACAAUGACAUUCAUUGAGCAUUCCUCUACCAGUCUCUGGGCCAAGCACUCACUGACUCCUCCCAGCCACUUCUGGAGAUUGGUACUGUUAUUAUCCCAUUUUACCAAUGGGGAAACUGAGGCACAGAAAGUACGGCACCUGGCCCAAGGACACACAGCUGACUAGUGU